GGCACUCUACCCGAGGGCGGUAUAGUGAGACUCUGUCUCUACAAAAAAAAAAAAAAGAUUCCGUGGACAAGAUUCAACCUGAAAGCGUACAAAAUUCAAGUGCAUCAAAUGUUAUUAUAAGAAGAUUAUCAUGCACAACUAACUUUCUGUCACCAGUUCAAUGAAAAACGCAGGAACGAUGAUGCAUUUUUGAUUAAUUUUUUCCAAUGAGGCAUUAGUGGCAAGGUCUACAAGUGUAAUUACUGUAUUUGGGGAACUGAAAAUCCACAUGAGUCUGUUGAACAUGAAAGAGAUUCUCCCAAAGUUAAUGUUUGGUGUACUUUUUGGAAAGAAAUUGAGUCAUAGGGCCGUUCUUUUUUUUUCUUUUUUUCUUUUUUGAGACAGAGCCUCCAACUGUCACCCUGGGUAGAGUGCUGUGGCAUCACAGCUCAUAGCAACCUCCAACUCCUGGGCUCAAGUGAUUCUCCUGUCUCCGCCUCCCAAGUAGCUGGGACUACAGACACCUGCCAUAAUGCCCAGCUAUUUUUUUUUUGGUUGCAGCCGUCAUUGUUUGGUGGGCUCAGACUGGAUUUGAACCUGCCAUGUGGCUGGCACCUUAGCCGCUUGAGCCACAGGCACUGAGCCAGGGCUGUUCUUUUUUGAAGGGCAUGUUGUUAAUGGUGAUAGCUAUUUAGAAAUGCUGCAAAAUUACUUUAUUCCUCAGCUCGAACAAUUAGGACUAAUAGAGAAUACAGUGUUUCAACAAGAUGGUGCUCCUUGUCACUUUGCUUUGCAUGUUAGAUAGUUUCUACAUGAGAAAUUCCCUAACGGGCAGCACUGGUGGCUCAGUGAGUAGGGUGCUGGCCCCAUAUACCAAGGGUGGCGGGUGUGUGUAGUGCCAGCUACUAGGGAGGCUUAGGCAAGAGAAUCAAUCGCCUAAGCCCAAGAGCUGGAGGUUGCUGUGAGCUGUGACACCACAGCACUCUACUGAGGGCGACAAAGUGAGACUCUGUCUCUAAAAAAAAAAGAAAUUCCCUAAAAGAGGGAUUGGAAGAGAUGGACCAUUUUCUGGGCCUCUGCAUUCACCAGAUUUGACUCCAUUGGACUUUUUUUAUGGGAACAUGUAAAAACUAAUGUUUAUUCAACCAAACUUCAAUCUAUAGAAGACCUGCAAGCUAGGAUAACUGAUGUGAUUGCUCAUAUUACUGAAAAUCAGCUUGAAAAUGUUUUCGGAGAACUACAGAAUGGUAUUACCAUUUGUAUUAGUGAUGGUGGUAGACAUGUUGAAAAUUAACAAGAACGGAGACGCACACAGCUUGCAUCGCCUGCACUCCACUUUCACAGCACCUAGUGAAACCUUCUCCGUCCUGCGCACAACGGCAACUCUUAAGGAAAAACUCAUUACACCAGUUGCAGAGGAAGAAGCAACAGUCCCAAACAAUAAGAUCACUAUAGUGGGCGUUGGACAAGUUGGCAUGGCGUGUGCUAUCAGCAUUCUGAGAAAGUCUCUGGCUGAUGAACUUGCUCUUGUGGAUGUUCAGGAAGAUAAGCUUAAAGGAGAAAUGAUGGAUCUGCAGCAUGGGAGUUUAUUUCUUCAGACACCUAAAAUUGUGGCAGAUAAUAACUCUGUGACUGCGAAUUCUAAGAUCGUGGUGGUAACUGCAGGUGUCCGUCAGCAAGAGGGGGAGAGUCGUCUCAAUCUGGUGCAGAGAAAUGUUAACGUCUUCAAGUUCAUUAUUCCUCAGAUCGUCUAGUACAGUCCUGAUUGCAUCAUAAUUGUGGUUUUCAAUCCAGUGGACAUUCUUAUAUAUGUUACCUGGAAACUAAGUGGAUUACCCAAACACCGUGUGAUUGGAAGUGGGUGCAACCUGGCUUCUGCUAGAUUUCACUAUCUUAUGGCUGAAAAACUUGGCAUUCAUCCCAGCAGCUGCCAUGGAUGGAUUUUGGGAGAACAUGGCGACUCAAGUGUGGCUGUGUAGAGUGGAGUAAAUGUGGCAGGUGUUUCUCUCCAGGAAUUGAAUCCAGAAAUGGGAACAGACAAUGAUAGUGAAAAUUGGAAGGAAGUCCAUAAGAUGGUGGUUGAGAGUGCCUUUGAAGUCAUCAAGCUAAAAGGAUAUACUAAUUGGGUGAUUGGAUUAAGUGUAGCUGAUCUUAUUGAAUCCAUGCUGAAAAAUCUAUCCAGGAUUCACCCAGUAUCAACAAUGGUGAAGGGGAUGUGCAGUAUUGAGAAUGGAGUCUUCCUGAGCCUUCCGUGUAUCCUCAAUGCUUGGGGAUUAACUAGCGUCAUCAACCAGAAACUAAAGGAUGAAGAGGUUGCUCAGCUCAAGGAAAGUGCAGAUACCCUGAGGGACAUCCAAAAGGACCUAAAAGACCUAUGACUACUGAACUCUAGCCUGUAGGAAUUAAAAAACUACAAUCUGAUUAACCCUGAGCCUUUAGCUUUCAUCCAAGUACAUGGAUCAUAGUUUGCUUUUAUCUUCCUUAAUAUGUGAAUUUGGGGGUGGCGCCUAUGGCUAAAG